GACACUACCCCACUCUGCCCUCUGUAACAGAUCCCAUGUGGCCCCACCACUCUCUGACAAGUCACGACAACGGACACCACUCCACUCUCCAUAACAAACUCCACGUGGCUCUGAACGACCCACCGAUGCCACUACUCUCUGUAACAAACUCCGUGUGGCCCCGAACGGCCCACUACCAGGCAGUUACGGACGUUGCUAUCAAUCAGUUAUGCUCUCCCAUCUGUAAAAAAGACCCUC
rnacentral:lncRNA from 1 species